rnacentral:tRNA from 2 species
GGGCUUGUAGCUCAGCCGGUUAGAGCGCCACUCUGAUAAAGUGGAGGUCGAUAGUUCGAGUCUAUCCAGGCCCACCA